GGGCGAGUGGGAAUGUGGAGGCUGGGCUACCCUCCCCACCCAGGGGCUUUGCAGCCUGGUCCUGCCACAGCGUCAAGAGGGACUGAAGUCAUACCGGUGAGGUCCGUGACAGAUGACAGGGGGAACAGGAAAUGCGACUAUUAGAAUUAUCAUUGUGGUGUUGAGGUCAGCAUCCUGCCCCUCCCCAGUGACCUCAGGCAAGUCGCUUAAUCUCUGGGCUUAGUUGUUGACAUGUGAUGGAUGACAUGGAGCUUCCAAGAUCCACAGCCUUAGAACUGUGAUUUGGCCUCUGUGUAGGUGACACAGGCAGACAGAAAUACCCACCAUAUGGCUUUAAUCCCAGCACUCGGGAGGCAGAGACAGGCGGAUCUCUGUGAGUUCGAGACCAGCCUGGUCUACAAGAGCUAGUUCUAGGACAGCCUCCAAAGCCAGAGAAGCCCUGUCUCGAAAAACAAAAAACAAAACAAAACAAAACAAAGAAAAAAGAAAUACCCACCAUAGACUUGAGACAUUCCGGAGAUCUGGCAGCCACUGGCAAACUGUGGUGCUCCUGGGAGGGUCUUGUGACCCUUACAUGGAGAGUCAACUCUUCAUCCUGGACAGUCACUAUAGGAAUACUUUAAUGACACUUGACCUGCUCCUACUUGGUGCCCCCUGCCCAGCCUCACCCCUCCAAGAUGUCUUGGAUGUACAAGCCCUGUCUGUCUAAUCAAAGACAAACAGAGGUGUCACACUUUGAGGGUUUCAGCUAGGACUGUCCCAUUUUGCAGAAAAGGAAGCCUGAGGUUGUGAAUUGUAAGUAGCCAUGCAAAGCCAGUUGCCCAACUUGUGAGUAUCAGACACUGGUUGCAGCCAACAUCUGCCUGCCAAGCUCACACCCUGUAGGAGCCCUACACAUGAGGUCCUCAGCUAGUGCGUUAGUUAGGAUCAGCCGGGUGCUCGGGGGAUCUGCGCAGGACUCAGCCUCUCUGCCUGGCUGUCCUCUCUGCCUGCCUGUGCCUCUCCCCAUCCCAUCAUCUCGGGGAUUCCUCGUCUUCCACUGAACUCCGGGCCCAUGCUGUCUCCUCCGCCGUUGAAGCUAGCAACAGGCCUUUUCUACUUCCUGUCUCUCUGGAGAAAGUCCGAUUUAAAUGUUCCCUGACUUUUUUUUUUGUUUGUUUCCUUCUUCCAAAAGCUGUGUUUUCAAUUAAUUUUAUAAUAAAAGCCAUACCAGAUUCUUGAAAACAACAGCAUCAAGAAGUUAUUUUUAAAAGCUAGCUCGGGGAGAGCUUACCCAACUCUGCCCGCCCAGCUCAUCAAUGCCCUGGUUCCCGCUUCUACCCCUCUACCAGAUUACUGCCCUGUCACUCUCACCGGGCCUCUUGAAACUACUUCUAAACUCCCUUCCUAAUGCCCCCUGCCACUGUGUACAGCUGCCUGUGUAGAGCCCCUGCCCUCCCCAUCACCCAGCCCGCCUCUGCAAGGCAGAGCUGAUCUGCCCGGAUUGCUUUGGACUUGUUCAAAAGUCACCAGGGAUUUGGCAGCCCCCAGGGAUAAAACCUAGAUCACCAACCCCCUGAACUCUUGAACCUCAGUGCCCACCAGACGGUUGACUCCUGCCUUUGUAUGUGCUGGAUUCUCUGUGAAUGACCCUGUUUCAGAGUGGGGGAAUAUGCCAGUGCAGGAAGACAAGAUGGAGGAAAGAAGUGGACAUGCCCAGGUCUCAGAGAGCAACCCACCAGGGGUUUACAAACAGAAGUGUGGAUUAGGUAGGGUAAAACAGGAGGUUCCAGCACCCCAAAUCUGGAGGAAGUAUGUGCAUAUGCUUUGUCUACCUCAGGGAGACAAAGGAGGCACAUUGCCAGCCCGACUACACCUGGGCUUCCUCAAAUUACAACAUCAGUGGAGAGUCAGGGCACCAUUGUUCAGGGUUGGGCACAAAACUCUCCACUGACUAUUUUAAACUCUGUGUCUUACAGGGUCAGGUCACAUGGUGGAUGUGGUAGCUAAUCUUCGAUCUCAGCUUGACUGGGUGUGCCUGUGGGUGUUUCCAGGAAGGUUUAUCUGAGGACCCACUUUAAAUGUGGGCAGCAGCAUUCCUUGGUCUGGGGUCCCAGACUGGAUAAAAAGGAGAAGAAACUGUGGCUCAGCCAGGGUGGUGCCGGUGAGACGGUUGACUGGAGAAAGCUCCUGCUGCUAAGGCCAGCUACCCGAGUUCAAUCCCUGGUACCCACAAGAUGGAAGGAGAGAGCAGACUUCUGCACGUUGUCUUCUGAACCCCCUCACAGUGACAUGUGUGACCCCACACAAAGGAAUUAAUGUUUUAUAUAUGUACAUACAUACAGAUAGAUUUUUUUAAAAAAAGGA